UAUGUGUUCCUGCUUCUAAUGUGAGAACCAUCCAUCCAUCCUCUUUAUUUCCAUGAAACUGGGUGCAUCACUGAGAACUCUACCAACUAAAAGCAGUAUAAAUAUUAAUGAUUUCUUCUUUGAAGCAGUUAUUGAAAGCCAGCCUAUCAAACCAUUGAAUUCCUUGGAAAGGACAUUAUCUGUGGAUACCCAAGCUUUGAAAUCCAACUCUUCAAGCAAUUUUUGACUCAGGCCCUCAUGUUGCCUCAAGCAAAAUAAAGGUGAAGGUCACCUGCUUGAACAGUCCAGCUGUUACCUGAUCUGCUGCGGAGACGGUUUCCGGCACAGCACUUCAGAGGUGACCCACAGCUGGGAUCUCAGAGUAGAGCCGGUGGUAGGUGCCUGUACCUCCAACCUCUGCUGGACUUGGAGCCCUCUGCUCUGUGUGGUGUCCUCGUUCUGACGAAAGGGCAGGCUCAGCUCUCCCUUUUCAGGCUCUGGUGGGAGGUGAAGCUAAUAGGUGGGAAACUUAUUUCAGAAAGCAGAGGGAGGCGAAAGUGGAGGGAGUCAGCCUUUAAGUAACGACAACCCGGUCAGUCUGAAGCGUCAACCCAGCACUGCCCUCUGUUUCAGCAGGAAGAGAAAUGCUGAGUAGCUGUCGUCUGUCCUGUCCAAGGUCCCUAGAGGUCCCUGCUCUUGGACUGUGAUGUACAAAUCCUUUCCCUGCGAGUGAGCCCUCUCUCCUCUCUCUCUAUGAAUUAAGCAGCUGUUGUUGUGUCUACUGGGUAAGGCACAAUAUAGAAGGAAGAGCUUCUGUUUCAUCCUCACCUGUGAAGGAUUUCUGCCACCAGGCAGGGUUCGUGGCUGCAGAGUCUCUCACGACUUAACCUCGAGCUCAGUAGAUGGGAGCUGCAGAACAACAGCAGGCCUUGGACAUCCACGUUCAGCCUGUGGGUCCUUCCUCCAUGCAUGCCCCUGAACGUGUGCUGCCUGGUUCCAUGCCAUCGCUCUGCCUUGCCUGUGUGUGGCUGUGAACUCCUGGGAGGGCAAGAGACUAACUUUCAUGAACUCAUUGAAGAUGGUUAAGACAAGAAAUUUUAAAUGAACAAAACAUGCUAUUGUCAAGAGCUGGAGAAAUUGCUGUUUUAAGAGGAAGUUUCACAAAGCAACACAACAGCAUAGAACCGUUGAAUGAGUCGGGAAGGCUCUGGGUCAGGUGAGAGGAAAUAUGAUUAUAAAAUCGGUUCCCUUGGGGCUCUGAAAUACCAUUUCUGAGCCUUGCUCACUGCUCUUAGUAAGACAGACUUGAUAUCUUUUCUCCGCUGUAUCUCUGGAAGACAAGAGCAUAAAUUGCAUAACGUGUGUGAAAACAAUCUGAUCUCCUUGGAAGAUGGGAUGACAGCCACAAGGUGUGGGGUUAUGAUUUUCUUUCUGGAACUUGGCUCUCAAAAUAAUGGCCCAAGUAGCAUCAUUGGAAGGAAAAUAUUUUAUUCAUCAUGAUCUUUUAAUUGCAGGAACUCAAUGUGAUAUAACAUAUUGGCUCAGAAGUCCAAUACAAAUGGGAUCAGAUGCUUCUUAAAUUAAGGCGAAUGCUUUACUGUAUUAGUCAGGAGGGCUAAGCUAGUGCUGCGUAACAAGCAACUCCAAGAUAUCAGUGACAUAACUCCUUAAAUUAUUCCUCAAGAAUGCAAAAGCAGGUGGAGUCCAGAUACUUAAUUCUCUGCCAGUGCAGUGAUCCAGCAGCCUGUGCCCCCUCAGUCUUGUGACUCCCCCAUCACAGCCGGAGGUCUUCUCCAUAACUGCUGUUCAGAGGGAAGAGAGACUCAUUCCACUGUCCCAGCCUGGAAGUGUUGCAUCCUGUUCCCUUACCCAUCAGCUGCUGUUCAUCAGCACCAUAUACACACACCACUCGGGAGUGUAGUCUCCCCGGCACCCAUCAGGGAAAGGAGAAUGGGCACUGGGAAGAGAAUAAUGUCUACCAUACUAAUAUAAUUACAAAUACUGCUGAUUGCCAUUCUCUCGAUCCUAAGGUGUAACUUAAGAGGACAGUAACCCACACUAGUAACUGCUGUUGGAGAACCCAGAGACUACAACCAAGAAGAAGUCAGUAACAGCAAGUCUCAGACAUUUACUUGCUAUCUUUCACAUACAACUUUGUUUCUAUGGCUGAAUUAAGUAAUCAAUGGCAGGAUUAUUCCUUGGAAUAAAUAAAGCGAAUAGGUUUAUUUGCAUAAAACUUUUCAGACCCUUUAACAUAAUAUGAACAUUGUGAAUCUUACCCUCAGAAUAUUAAAAAAAAUACUUUUGAACAUAGGGAGCAUGACUGU